ACAUUCUGAAAAUUGCCUUGGAUGUUUCAGUUGUCCUUGGUAAGAUAACGGUGCCUAUAUGAAAAUGGUACAUUAAGCUUAUUGCCCACUUAUAUUUUGUGUGGUGAUUAAACCCGUGUUCCUACAAGC